GAAUCACGGAGAAAUAGAUAAAAAAUCAUAGGGAAGGGAACACACCAACAACAACGUGAGCAGCGACUUGACAGGCCUUCAGCCUGACUGAAAAAUCUCAAUACGUUUUUCAAGGGAGUGACGUCUUUAAGGCCGUUUGAACAUUUAAUUUGAUAAUUCGAUAAUGUACCGCUAGAGGGAGCUGGCGUGCCGCUGAUGGUAAUCGAAUUGUUCCCCACUUAAAGAGAGACUCACAUGCAGUACUAAUAUCCAAAACAGAAAUUGAUUAGCAAAAUCAUGAACAGGAAUGUAAGGUAAUGCAGACUCAUGAAGAAACGCCGAAUGUAAGAGGUGUGACUCAUGAGGCCAAUUUGGCCUGGCCAAAAAGGAAGGAUGCAGACAGGAGAGGAGAAGAACAAACAACUAAGAUACAUUGUUACACGCCUAUGUUACCUAGGAACAUAGUGGUGCCAACAUGAGCUAAUUAUAUUUACCCGUGGACACCAGGGCCUGAUAACUGAGGUGAAAGAGGAGGUGAGUCAAAAGGAGACGUGAUUAGGCAGGGUGAACCGUACACAAUUCAGCAAUGAGACGUGGAGAACCCAGUAUUAUGUAAAUCAC